AGAAAAUGUAGAAGUAAUCACAUAUUUGUACGAUUCAGAAAAACUCAUUUUUUUCCGUUUAGUAAAUAUUAUUUAGUAAAAUGAAUAGAAAUCACGAAAGAAUAAAAGAUGAAGAUGAUUUAGAAAAGCUGGCACUAGAUGAAAUUGUAAAAGAAGCAAAAAGAGGGAAAGAAAGAGCAGAAACAAUGGGUCCAAUGGGAUGGAUCAAAUGUCCAUUGAUGCCGACAAAUAAAAGAUUCUUAAAAAAUGUUCUUAAGGGAACUUUGGAUAACAAGAGAUAAGAAAGCCAAUAAGAGAAAUUUUAAGAGGGAUUCAAGCAAUUUUUUACUUGAUGUGAAGCAUAACAAAGAAACAGACCACAAACAAAUUAAUGAUAACAUAUCUGAGCAAAGUAGUAGCUCUAAUAAAGAUUUAUCAGCAAGUAUUUCAACGAGAAAUUUGAAAACUGAAUCAUCUUACAGAUUAAAGAGGAGACAUAAUGAAAGUAACAAUAUCACUCGUAAUAAUAAACUGAAAUAUAAUAAAGAAAGUAAAAGAAGAAAAUAAGCAAAUAGACUACAAUUAAUGUUGCUCAGAUGUUAAAACUCCACAUUUUGUCUUAAGUUGUCUUGUCAAAAAAAGCAAACCAACAAAUGAAACCUCGAUCUUGGAUUUUAAAGUUAUUUAAUUUAUAUAUUUACACAUUAAACUUAUACAUUUGGUUGGACCUUGUCCUCUCCUAACACUGUUCUAUAAAUAUUAUACACUAUAUAUGAGAUAUACUUUAUUAUGACAAUCUAAUCAAA